rnacentral:rRNA from 1 species
AUUGAACGCUGGCGGCAGGCUUAACACAUGCAAGUCGAGCGAGCGGCGGACGGGUGAGUAAUGUCUGGGAAACUGCCUGAUGGAGGGGGCUAACUACUGGAAACGGUAGCUAAUACCGCAUACCAUCAGAUGUGCCCAGAUGGGAUUAGCUAGUUGGGGGGGUACUGGCUCACCUAGGCGACGAUCCCUAGCUGGUCUGAGAGGAUGACCAGACACACUGGAACGGAGACACGGUCCAGACUCCGAUGGGAGGCAGCAGUGGGGAAUAUGGCACAAUGGGGGCAAGCAUGAGGCAGCCAUGCCGCGUGUGUGAAGAAGGCCGUCGGGUUGUAAAGCACUGUCAGCGAGGAGGCGUUACUCGCAGAAGAAGCACCGGCUAACUCCGGGCCAGCAGCCGCGGUAAUUC